UACGUAGGGGGCAAGCGUUGGCCGGAUUUAUUGGGCGUAAAGAGCGUGUAGGCGGCCAUACAGGUCAGCUGUGAAAACUCGAGGCUCAACCUCGAGACGUCGGUUGAAACCGUAUGGCUAGAGUCCGGAAGAGGAGAGUGGAAUUCCCGGUGUAGCGGUGAAAUGCGCAGUUAUCGGGAAGAACACCCGUGGCGAAGGCGGCUCUCUGGGACGGUACUGACGCUGAGACGCGAAAGCGUGGGGAGCGAACAGG
rnacentral:rRNA from 1 species